GACGAACGCUGGCGGCGUGCUUAACACAUGCAAGUCGAACGGAAAGGCCCUGCUUUUGUGGGGUGCUCGAGUGGCGAACGGGUGAGUAACACGUGAGUAACCUGCCCUUGACUUUGGGAUAACUUCAGGAAACUGGGGCUAAUACCGGAUAGGAGCUCCUGCUGCAUGGUGGGGGUUGGAAAGUUUCGGCGGUUGGGGAUGGACUCGAGGCUUAUCAGCUUGUUGGUGGGGUAGUGGCUUACCAAGGCUUUGACGGGUAGCCGGCCUGAGAGGGUGACCGGCCACAUUGGGACUGAGAUACGGCCCAGACUCCUACGGGAGGCAGCAGUGGGGAAUAUUGCACAAUGGGCGGAAGCCUGAUGCGGCAACGCCGCGUGCGGGAUGACGGCCUUCGGGUUGUAAACCGCUUUCGCCUGUGACGAAGCGUGAGUGACGGUAAUGGGUAAAGAAGCACCGGCUAACUACGUG
rnacentral:rRNA from 1 species